GACAGAGGGUGCAAACGUUGUUCGGAAUUACUGGGCGUAAAGCGUGCGUAGACGGUUAUUUAAGUCGGAUGUGAAAGCCCCGGGCUCAACCUGGGAAUUGCAUUCGAGACUGAAUAGCUAGGGUACGGUAGAGGGAAGCGGAAUUUCCGGUGUAGCGGUGAAAUGCGUAGAUAUCGGAAGGAACAUCAGAGGCGAAAGCGGCUUCCUGGACCAGUACCGACGUUCAGGCACGAAAGCGUGGGGAGCAACCAGG
rnacentral:rRNA from 1 species